UCUUUUCUGCUGUGUGCGUGAGUUCGAUUUGUUUUGAACCAACACAUUUACAUUGGGAGCCAGAGCUCAUCGUGGCGUAAAUGCCCUUGGUACUAGCGUUGCUGGUGAGGGACUUAUAAAGCGGUGAUGAUGGCACCCACCUGCGAGAGCGGGAUUCAAAAACAGAAAGGGCUCACGGCAUGGUGGAGAGUAU
rnacentral:other from 1 species